rnacentral:SRP_RNA from 10 species
CACGAGGUUAGGAGUUCAAGACCAUCUUGGCCAACAUGGAGAAACUCCGUCUCUACUAAAAAUACAAAAAUUAGCUGAGCAUGGUGGUGCACCCCUGUAGUCCCAGCUACUCGGGAGGCUGAGGCAUGAGAAUCACUUAAACCCGGGAGGCAGAGGGUGCAGUGAGCUGAGAUCGUGCCACUGUACUCCAGCCUAGGCAACAGAACGAGAUUCCGCCUCAAAAUAAAUAAAUAAAUAAAUAAACAAAUAAUGAACAGAUAAAGAGUGAGGCAGAGAGAAAAUAAACCAGUGGAACGCAUUGAAAAAGAUACUUUUGAGAGUACAUGGAGAACAGAUAAAAGACAUUAAAACUAAGUGUAUUAAUUAAAAAUAUGAAGUGAUAGGAGGCACUUUUACAACUAAUACAUUAGAAAAUUUUUUAUUUAAAUGGUCAACAUUUUGUAGACUAAUUAUAGUUUGCUCCCAUCCCAGAAUACAUCUUGGGAGUAGAUAACUUAUCAGGCCUGACCCCACAAACAACUGCAGGGGAAUUCUGACGGAGAGUUAGGUGGUGAACCCUGUGAUCAGAGAAUGCAAAAUGGACACCAGGACACUUUCCAGCCCUGCCCCGUGGGGCUGAUUUAAAGGAUGAAUGGACUGUUGAAGCAACAACUCCAGCAGGAGACGCACUCUGGCUCUGUGGACACACCAUUUACCAGCAGUUGUCUGCACCCUGAAUGAACAUGGCGUUCUCAUCACCAGUGCCUAUGUCCUUCCGAUGCAAGAACGUGAUACCACUCUCAGGAUCCAGGUGGACAAGAUGGUGUGCAGCAGACCCUCUUUACCAACUGGGCACAGAUGGUGGCCUCUCUCCAGAACAAAACAGACUGUUGGGCCUGUGAAGAGCUGCCCCUCUCCUCCAUCAUAAGCCUGCUGUGGUGAAUCCAAAAUUAACUCCCAAGUUGGAUUAUUUUUUGUUUUAGUUUGCAUUGCUGCUGCAGCAGUCUGGCAGCGAUGCUUCUCCACAUUACCUGGCCCCAGGGAAAUCAUGGAAGAAUAGCGUGAUAAAAAUGUGAGAGCUGUUCCAGGGUAGCUGGGGUGGACUGUAUGGUAGAAGCACCUGAUAGCAGUACCUUAACUUAGCCAUAACCUGAGAAUGGCCCUGUAUGGCAGAGGCACCUGAAUGUGUGUUCAGAGUUCCAAGCUGAGGAAUCCAGGAGUGGCCAACCCAGGCAUUCAUUCCUUAUCUAUGAGGAACAUCUGAGCCCCUGGCCUGUCUAGUGAAACACAGGCCAUACAGGGGAUUGAGGCCCUUUGUUUUGGGUUAAGUGAAGGUUGCCAGGUGAAGAUGGUUAGGGGGAGGGUGCUUAGUGAAAAUGCUAUAUAAACUACAUGCUUUUUGCAAGUGGUUACAGUUCUCCUGCCCAGCCUGCUGCCUCUGGGCCGUAUGGUUCUCCAGCCCAGCACCCCCUCACUGGGCUGUGUGGUUCUCCUGUCCAGCCUGCCGCCACUGGCCCUCCCUCUUUGUAGGUUUCCUGCUAAUAAAGCCCUAUGUCCUG